UAGGGAAUCUUCGGCAAUGGGGGGAACCCUGACCGAGCAACGCCGCGUGAGUGAAGAAGGUUUUCGGAUCGUAAAGCUCUGUUGUUAAGGAAGAACGAGUGUGAGAAUGGAAAGUUCAUGCUGUGACGGUACUUAACCAGAAAGGGACGGCUAACUACGUGCCAGCAGCCGCGGUAAUACGUAGGUCCCGAUCGUUGUCCGGAUUUAUUGGGCGUAAAGCGAGCGCAGGCGGUUAGAAAAGUCUGAAGUGAAAGGCAGUGGCUCAACCAUUGUAGGCUUUGGAAACUGUUUAACUUGAGUGCAGAAGGGGAGAGUGGAAUUCCAUGUGUAGCGGUGAAAUGCGUAGAUAUAUGGAGGAACACCGGUGGCGAAAGCGGCUCUCUGGUCUGUAACUGACGCUGAGGCUCGAAAGCGUGGGGAGCGAACAGG
rnacentral:rRNA from 1 species